GUAGAUGUCAGCGUAAUAUAAUACUAUUACCACGAAUAUGCAAUCCAACAAUUUAUGGAAGUUUAUAUUUUAAGUGCAAAAUACACGAAGCCAACUAUUAAGAUGGUGCAUUUUUGAAAAGUUUAUUCCAACCAGUUCAUUCAAGAUACUUACUAAGAAUUAAUAUAAUAAAUUUUAUACGUAAUUCGACGCGAAUAAACCCGCGUAGAAUGGAGAAAUUCCACCUAUUCUGUUCCCUGGCUGAUAUCCGAGUCUCUAUCGCGCAAUAAAAGAGCGGGAAAAGUUGAUAAACAGGCGUGUGUGCGGCGCAUUAUCGAGCGAUGUUUAAUAAUGGAAAAGCAAAUACGGCCGUUCGUUGAUCGAGGAGGGACGUUUAUUGAAUCGGGCCCGGCGACUUCUUCACUUCGAUAAAAAGGGUUGACGAGCUAUAAUGUGGAACAGAAAUCACGGCACAAGAAGUGACAUCGAAAUAUCGAUUUAACGAAGUCGUUCUUUGGUCACGGGGUGGAACAACUCUCUGCUCCUAGAACAUUAUAUUAGUUAUUGAAUGAAUUGGUAUCGUACGAAUAGUUGUAAAUAAAUUAAUUAUUGUGACUAUUAUGUAUAAAAAUAUGAAAAGAACACAUUAUGAAUGGAUUUAAUUGCUUCAAGUAACGAUAUGUAUAAAUACAAAAUUCUUAUUUAUAGUUUUCUCCAAGAGAACAGGAAAAUGAAAGAAAGAAGAUGCUAAAUGAUGUGGAAAUUUGUUGAUAUGAAAUUUUAAUAAAAAUAAUAUUUGUUAAUAA